GGAUAACUCCGGGAAACCGGAGCUAAUACCGGAUAGUUCCUUGAACCGCAUGGUUCAAGGAUGAAAGACGGUUUCGGCUGUCACUUACAGAUGGACCCGCGGCGCAUUAGCUAGUUGGUGAGGUAACGGCUCACCAAGGCGACGAUGCGUAGCCGACCUGAGAGGGUGAUCGGCCACACUGGGACUGAGACACGGCCCAGACUCCUACGGGAGGCAGCAGUAGGGAAUCUUCCGCAAUGGACGAAAGUCUGACGGAGCAACGCCGCGUGAGUGAUGAAGGUUUUCGGAUCGUAAAGCUCUGUUGUUAGGGAAGAACAAGUGCAAGAGUAACUGCUUGCACCUUGACGGUACCUAACCAGAAAGCCACGGCUAACUACGUGCCAGCAGCCGCGGUAAUACGUAGGUGGCAAGCGUUGUCCGGAAUUAUUGGGCGUAAAGGGCUCGCAGGCGGUUUCUUAAGUCUGAUGUGAAAGCCCCCGGCUCAACCGGGGAGGGUCAUUGGAAACUGGGAAACUUGAGUGCAGAAGAGGAGAGUGGAAUUCCACGUGUAGCGGUGAAAUGCGUAGAGAUGUGGAGGAACACCAGUGGCGAAGGCGACUCUCUGGUCUGUAACUGACGCUGAGGAGCGAAAGCGUGGGGAGCGAACAGGAUUAGAUACCCUGGUAGUCCACGCCGUAAACGAUGAGUGCUAAGUGUUAGGGGGUUUCCGCCCCUUAGUGCUGCAGCUAACGCAUUAAGCACUCCGCCUGGGGAGUACGGUCGCAAGACUGAAACUCAAAGGAAUUGACGGGGGCCCGCACAAGCGGUGGAGCAUGUGGUUUAAUUCGAAGCAACGCGAAGAACCUUACCAGGUCUUGACAUCCUCUGACAACCCUAGAGAUAGGGCUUUCCCUUCGGGGACAGAGUGACAGGUGGUGCAUGGUUGUCGUCAGCUCGUGUCGUGAGAUGUUGGGUUAAGUCCCGCAACGAGCGCAACCCUUGAUCUUAGUUGCCAGCAUUCAGUUGGGCACUCUAAGGUGACUGCCGGUGACAAACCGGAGGAAGGUGGGGAUGACGUCAAAUCAUCAUGCCCCUUAUGACCUGGGCUACACACGUGCUACAAUGGACAGAACAAAGGGCUGCGAGACCGCAAGGUUUAGCCAAUCCCACAAAUCUGUUCUCAGUUCGGAUCGCAGUCUGCAACUCGACUGCGUGAAGCUGGAAUCGC
rnacentral:rRNA from 1 species